rnacentral:rRNA from 1 species
UGGGGAAUAUUGCGCAAUGGGCGAAAGCCUGACGCAGCGACGCCGCGUGGGGGAUGACGGCCUUCGGGUUGUAAACCUCUUUCGACCGGGACGAAGCGUAAGUGACGGUACCGGUAUAAGAAGCACCGGCCAACUACGUGCCAGCAGCCGCGGUAAUACGUAGGGUGCGAGCGUUGUCCGGAAUUAUUGGGCGUAAAGAGCUCGUAGGCGGUGUGUCACGUCGAUCGUGAAAACUUACAGCUUAACUGUGAGCGUGCGGUCGAUACGGGCAUCACUGGAGUUCGGCAGGGGAGACUGGAAUUCCUGGUGUAGCGGUGAAAUGCGCAGAUAUCAGGAGGAACACCGGUGGCGAAGGCGGGUCUCUGGGCCGAUACUGACGCUGAGGAGCGAAAGCGUGGGGAGCGAACA